GACAGAGGGUGCAAACGUUGUUCGGAAUUACUGGGCGUAAAGCGUGUGUAGGCGGCCAUUCAAGUCGGAUGUGAAAGCCCCGGGCUCAACCCGGGAAGUGCACCCGAAUACUGUAUGGCUUGAGUAUCGGAGAGGUUGGUGGAAUUCUCGGUGUAGAGGUGAAAUUCGUAGAUAUCGAGAGGAACACCGGUGGCGAAGGCGGCCAACUGGACGAAUACUGACGCUGAGACACGAAAGCGUGGGGAGCAAACAGG
rnacentral:rRNA from 1 species